rnacentral:lncRNA from 1 species
UACUACUACUUCUGAGAAAUUGAAAAAAGAAGAAAGAGAUUGAGAAUUUCCAACUGUGGUUGGCAUAUUUCUUUCGAUAGUUGAUAUCUGGCUUUAGGCCUAAUCCUUUGUUUGGUCUUGAUUUGGGAAAUAAGGGUGGUGCACCAGUUGCAGCACUUUAACACGAGUUAUGGAGAUAAAACCGAGUGAGGAGGAGGAGGGAAACGUAUGAGAUGAGGGAUUUGGACUUGCUACACUUACCAGAUGUGAGGUAGUUAAAUGCUUUCCUUCCAUUGCAGAUAUCCAUAUUGCUAUAGUGUCUAUAAAUUAUCAUAUAGAAAGAAGCUAAGGGGAUUCUACAAGAUGUUCUGAAGUGUCGAUAUACGACGAACAGGAAUCUAUUCUACAAGAUGUUUGAAUGUGUGAGUAUCCUUGUGUGGAUCAGCCCGAAGGCUGUCGAUUUGAAAAGAUGAAGACAAGGAAGAGCCAUUCUUCAUACAUAGGAGCGAGUGGUCGAAAUGGAAAGCGGACAACCGGAAUUCAGUACAACUAUAGGGUUCGGUUCCUCUCAUGUUUACGCUAGGGGAUGAUUCUACUCGUUCAUCGACUUCCCCCGCAUGGAGCAGCAUAGAUCUAAAUUUAGGAGGAUUAUCCAGAUCGUAGUACUCUAAAAGCUCUUUAUAGCAAUGACUCUCUAAACGUGAUAUAGAUGUUCUAUUAGAUUUUAUCCAGCGGUGAAUACGUAGGAAUUGCCAGAAUAUAUCGCACUUAAAUCCAUCUAUGAUUUUGAAUAGAAUUCGUAGGUUCCGACCUGGUGUUGUA